rnacentral:rRNA from 1 species
AGAGUUUGAUCCUGGCUCAGGAUGAACGCUGGCGGCGUGCUUAACACAUGCAAGUCGAACGAACCUUCGGGUUAGUGGCGGACGGGUGAGUAACGCGUGAGAAUCUGCCCUCAGGAGGGGGAUAACGGCUGGAAACGGCCGCUAAUACCCCAUAUGCCGAGAGGUGAAACGAGUUUUCGCCUGAGGAUGAGCUCGCGUCUGAUUAGCUAGUUGGUGGGGUAAGAGCCUACCAAGGCAUCGAUCAGUAGCUGGUCUGAGAGGAUGAUCAGCCACACUGGGACUGAGACACGGCCCAGACUCCUACGGGAGGCAGCAGUGGGGAAUUUUCCGCAAUGGGCGAAAGCCUGACGGAGCAACGCCGCGUGAGGGAUGAAGGCCUCUGGGCUGUAAACCUCUUUUAUCAAGGAAGAAGUUCUAACGGUACUUGAUGAAUAAGCCACGGCUAAUUCCGUGCCAGCAGCCGCGGUAAUACGGGAGUGGCAAGCGUUAUCCGGAAUUAUUGGGCGUAAAGCGUCCGCAGGCGGCCUGAUAAGUCUGUUGUCAAAGCGUGGAGCUCAACUCCAUUUCGGCAAUGGAAACUGUGAGGCUUGAGUGUGGUAGGGGCGGAGGGAAUUCCCGGUGUAGCGGUGAAAUGCGUAGAUAUCGGGAAGAACACCAGUGGCGAAGGCGCUCUGCUGGGCCAUAACUGACGCUCAUGGACGAAAGCCAGGGGAGCGAAAGGGAUUAGAUACCCCUGUAGUCCUGGCCGUAAACGAUGAACACUAGGUGUCGGGGGAAUCGACCCCCUCGGUAUCGUAGCCAACGCGUUAAGUGUUCCGCCUGGGGAGUACGCACGCAAGUGUGAAACUCAAAGGAAUUGACGGGGGCCCGCACAAGCGGUGGAGUAUGUGGUUUAAUUCGAUGCAACGCGAAGAACCUUACCAGGGUUUGACAUCCUGCGAAUCCCUUGGAAACGAGGGAGUGCCUUCGGGAGCGCAGAGACAGGUGGUGCAUGGCUGUCGUCAGCUCGUGUCGUGAGAUGUUGGGUUAAGUCCCGCAACGAGCGCAACCCACGUCUUUAGUUGCCAGCAUUGAGUUGGGCACUCUAGAGAGACCGCCGGUGAUAAACCGGAGGAAGGUGUGGAUGACGUCAAGUCAUCAUGCCCCUUACAUCCUGGGCUACACACGUACUACAAUGCUACGGACAAAGGGCAGCAAACUCGCGAGAGCUAGCAAAUCCCAUAAACCGUGGCUCAGUUCAGAUCGUAGGCUGCAACUCGCCUACGUGAAGGAGGAAUCGCUAGUAAUCGCAGGUCAGCAUACUGCGGUGAAUACGUUCCCGGGCCUUGUACACACCGCCCGUCACACCAUGGAAGUUGGCCACGCCCGAAGCCGUUACUCCAACCCUUGUGGAGGAGGACGUCGAAGGUGGGGCUGAUGACUGGGGUGAAGUCGUAACAAGGUA